rnacentral:lncRNA from 1 species
GCAUUGGGACCACCACUUGUCUGUGUAGGUGCCUUGCUAGGCCAGCCUGCUGUGUACCUGAUCAGGUGCAGACAACCCAUCCAUGCCUUGGAGGUCUGCCAGAUGUUCUGGCAGACAGAUGAGCUGUCAGUGUUCAGGUGGGUCCAAGCAGUGGGCAUCUGGUGAUGAUGUCACAAUGCUGGAGCCAGGACAUGGGCUCCUGGCAGGACCAGGCUCUUUGGAAAGAGGAGCCUAUGAGAAUGGCCAGCAACUGUUGUCAGAGGAGAGAAAUGCUCAUUGGUGCUGCAGCAGAGUCCGCAGGCUGCAGAUAGACAGUGGUGAUGCUGAGGAACCGGGGGAGGAGCACUCAGAGGAACUGUCCACAGAGGAGCUUCAGAAACGUCUGGAUGAGCAAUGGGGAAUGGCAGCUGAGGGGCUUUCUGAAGAGGAGGGGGAGUGUCAACAAUCAGAGCGGCAAAGUUCUUCUGAAAUAAAGGAAAUCCUGAAAAAAUGGACAGAGCCACAGACAUUUAUAGAGAAGACCCACCCGGACAGAGAAAACGCCACCUGUUGUUUUUACUUACUUAAUAAUGAUGUCAUGUCCUACUACAGAACAGCGUUAAAUAAAAGACAGAAACAGACAACCUCAGACCAGUUUUUAGUUCUGAAAAGGUCGAGACCUAGUGAUCCUGAAGCAGGUCCUAGUGUGCUACAGAUUCUACCCAGGAGAGAAAGGACACCAGAGAGGCAGGUUCCGGAUGUUCUUAUGGAAGGGGACCCUCCUUCCAAACAAAAACCACCUUCCAUUUCAUCCUUCCUUCCUCAAGCCAAAGAUGUCAACUUGCAUGUGCCAACAAAGAUUUCCUUCCCGGUUAGAUGGGCACCAGGCUUUAUGGAAUCUUCUGUAGGAACAGCUCUCUUUGGGUCCACUACACGCCCAUCAACUUUGGUCGAGCACAUUGCUGCAUUGAUCUCUUCAACACAAGAGUAAGUCAAAAGACCAAAGCCCCUGGAAGUGUUUUGUUGGGGUAUCUCAUUACCACACACUCUGUGAGUGUGCCCCAUUUCUCAAAAUGUUCUCUUAAACUAUCAUCUGUAGUUUAAAGGCUCAGACCACCGAUAGACAGCUUCCUCAACUGCUCUGGUUCCUUCGGAUCAUGGCUCUCCCCCUCCCUGCGGUGGCAAUGGCUGGAAUUGGGCUGGAGGGCGACUGGGCUGUGGUUUUACCUCCAUUUUGAGACUGGACUGGCCUCUUCCAACCCUUAAAACAGCUUUUGUCAUACACAUGCACAUUAUUAAAUCCACU